rnacentral:rRNA from 1 species
UACGGGGGGGGCAAGCGUUGUUCGGAAUUACUGGGCGUAAAGGGCUCGUAGGCGGCCAACUAAGUCAGACGUGAAAUCCCUCGGCUUAACCGGGGAACUGCGUCCGAUACUGGAGGGCUUGAGUGUGGGAGAGGGAUGCGGAAUUCCAGGUGUAGCGGUGAAAUGCGUAGAUAUCUGGAGGAACACCGGUGGCGAAGGCGGCAUCCUGGACCAUUACUGACACUGAAAAGCGAAAGCCAGGGGAGCAAACGGG